UGGAUUAGGCAUGCAAGUCGAGCGCUCAUAGCAAUAUGGGAGCGGCGAACGGCGUAGUAAUACGUAGGAACGUACCCUCGGGUCGAGGAUAGCUAUGGGAAACUGUAGGUAAUACUCGAUAACCUCUGCGGAGCAAAGGUGUGAUUCCGCCCGAGGAGCGGCUUACGCGAUAUUAGCUAGUUGGUAGGGUAAUGGCCUACCAAGGCGAUGAUGUCUAGGGGGUGUGAGAGCAUGGCCCCCACGACCGGAACUGAGAUACUGUCCGGACACCUACGGGUGGCUGCAGUCGAGAAUCUUCCGCAAUGGACGAAAGUCUGACGGAGCGACGCCGCGUGCGGGAUGAAGGCCCUUGGGUUGUAAACCGCUGUCAGAGGGGAUGAAAUCUUCGGAGGUACUCCUCCGAAGUUGACAGAGCCUCAAAGGAAGCACGGGCUAAGUACGUGCCAGCAGCCGCGGUA
rnacentral:rRNA from 1 species